rnacentral:rRNA from 1 species
GAUGAACGCUAGCGGCAGGCUUAAUACAUGCAAGUCGUGGGGCAGCAGGGUUGUAGCAAUACAAUCGCUGGCGACCGGCAAACGGGUGCGUAACACGUACGCAAUCUUCCCGUCACUGUGGCAUAGCCCAGGGAAACUUGGAUUAAUACCACAUACGAUAUCGAGGAGGCAUCCUUUUGAUAUGAAAGCUCCGGCGGUGACGGAUGAGCGUGCGGUUGAUUAGGUAGUUGGCGGGGUAACGGCCCACCAAGCCUACGAUCAAUAGCUGAUGUGAGAGCAUGAUCAGCCACACGGGGACUGAGACACGGCCCAGACUCCUACGGGAGGCAGCAGUGGGGAAUAUUGGACAAUGGGGGGGACCCUGAUCCAGCCAUGCCGCGUGUGUGAAGAAGGCCUUUUGGUUGUAAAGCACUUUAAGUGGGGAGGAGGCUUACCUGGUUAAUACCUGGGCUAAGUGGACGUUACCCACAGAAUAAGCACCGGCUAACUCUGUGCCAGCAGCCGCCGUAACAC